rnacentral:rRNA from 1 species
UACAGAGGGGGCAAGCGUUGUUCGGAAUUACUGGGCGUAAAGGGUUCGUAGGUGGCCGGCUAAGUCAGACGUGAAAUCCCUCAGCUUAACUGGGGAACUGCGUCUGAGACUGGUCGGCUUGAGUGCAGGAGAGGAACGCGGAAUUCCAGGUGUAGCGGUGAAAUGCGUAGAUAUCUGGAGGAACACCGGUGGCGAAGGCGGCGUUCUGGACUGCAACUGACACUGAGGAACGAAAGCCAGGGGAGCAAACGGG